GCCUGUGGCCCUCACUGCACAGGGUUCUUCUGCAGUGGGACCCCGUGGCCAUGUCACUCUCUGCCCUGGGAAACAUCCUGUGCCACGGGGCCGGGGGGGUGGGGGCGGUUAGGCAGCUUGGGUGAUUUUUUUAUUGUUUGUAGAGAUGGGGUCUCACUGUGUUGGCCAGCUGGUCUGAAACUCUGGGCCCAAGUAAUCCUCCCGCCUCGGCCUCCCAAAGUGCUGAGAUUACAGACAUGAGCCACCACACCUGGCCAAGAGUGAGUUUUAAUGAGCGCACAGUCACUGUCUUCUCACAUCGGAAGUCCGUGUGCUGAGAAAUGUGGAUUCUCUUUAUUCUGGACGUUCCAGAAAGCCUCGUCCAAGGGGAUCGAAUGGACGCAGGAGGGAGAGAGCUCAGAUUUUAGCUCUUUGUUAGGCUCUCAGCUACCCGCAGGAGGACCAGGACUGAAAGAAUUGUCAGGGGUCAAAAUCGUCUUUGUCAUUUUCUUGGAAAUAAAAGUAAGCAUCUCAUUUCAGA